rnacentral:rRNA from 1 species
UACAGAGGGUGCAAGCGUUAAUCGGAAUUACUGGGCGUAAAGCGUGCGUAGACGGUUACAUAAGUCGGGUGUGAAAGCCCCGGGCUCAACCUGGGAAUUGCAUUCGAGACUGCGUAGCUAGGGUGCGGAAGAGGGAAGCGGAAUUUCCGGUGUAGCGGUGAAAUGCGUAGAUAUCGGAAGGAACACCAGUGGCGAAGGCGGCGUCCUGGCCUGCGACUGACGCUGUGGCGCGAAAGCUAGGGGAGCGAACGGG